AUGGACGCCACGGCCACCGGCGCCAAGGGGAAGAAGGGCGCGGCCGGGCGCAAGGCCGGCGGCCCCAGGAAGAAGUCGGUGACGCGGUCCGUGAAGGCGGGGCUCCAGUUCCCCGUCGGCCGCAUCGGGCGGUACCUCAAGAAGGGCCGCUACGCCCAGCGCGUCGGGACCGGCGCCCCCGUCUACCUCGCCGCCGUCCUCGAGUACCUCGCCGCCGAGCUGCUGGAGCUCGCCGGGAACGCCGCCAAGGACAACAAGAAGAGCCGCAUCAUCCCCCGCCACCUGCUGCUCGCCGUCAGGAACGACGAGGAGCUCGGCAAGCUGCUGGCCGGCGUCACCAUCGCGCACGGCGGCGUCAUCCCCAAGAUCAACCCGGUGCUGCUCCCCAAGAAGACGGCGGAGAAGGAGGGCAAGGCGCCCAAGUCCCCCAAGAAGACUGCCAAGUCGCCCAAGAAGGCCGCCACCCCGAAGAAGGCCUAA
rnacentral:rRNA from 1 species